CCUACGGGUGGCUGCAGUGGGGAAUAUUGCACAAUGGGGGAAACCCUGAUGCAGCAACGCCGCGUGGGUGAAGGAGCUUUUCGGCGCGUAAAGCCCUGUCAGCGGGGAAGAAGAAAGACGGUACCCGACCCAGCCGCCCCGGCUAACUACGUGCCAGCAGCCGCGGUAAUACGGGGGAUGCAAGCGUUAUCCGGAUUUAUUGGGUUUAAAGGGUGCGUAGGCUGUGAGGUAAGUCAGCGGUGAAAUGCCCCCGCUCAACGGGGGGAAGUGCCAUUGAUACUGCCUUGCUGGAAUGCGGAUGCCGUGGGAGGAAUGUGUGGUGUAGCGGUGAAAUGCAUAGAUAUCACACAGAACACCGAUUGCGAAGGCAUCUCACGAAGCCGCGAUUGACGCUGAUGCACGAAAGCGUGGGUAUCAAACAGGAUUAGAUACCCUAGUAGUC
rnacentral:rRNA from 1 species